UUUUUUUCAUUCUGCUCUACUCUGUGGAGUUUACUUGUUCUCCCCCUGCUUGUGUAGGCUCCCUCCCACUUUCCAAAAACAUGCAUGUUUGGUUCAGUGGAGAUUCUAAUGGACCAUGGGUGUGAAUGUGAGUGACAAUGGGUGUUUCUCUAUAUGUGCCUUGCAAUUGUCUGAGGCAUAUGCUCGCAAGUUAAAUGCCUCUCAGGUCAUGCAAUUUCUGACAAUAAGUUGACUGGAACUGAGACUCCCAAAAAGCAGGUCUAAGUGGUGGCACAGAUAAUGUAACAGAAUUUUGGUGGAUUUGAGCGAGGCGCAGGCAGACAGAUUCGGCACUACGUGGACAUGUGUGCUGGAUGUCAUCGUAUCUCAUUCGUAAACAUGACAACAGCGUGGGACAAUUACUCUGAAUUGUUGCUCAACAAGGGGUGAGAGUGGAACACAAAAGCAAAUACCGUGCAACCUCAUUUUAAAAACAAAAAUUCCCAUUCAAAUUAAUGUAAACUGAGUUAAUUCCAUUUGGCUGGCAAGCAGUCUAGGGUCACCUGGGAUAGCUUCCACCUCACUUGUUGUUAGUUUGUGACACACACACACACACACACACACACACACA